rnacentral:rRNA from 1 species
GUGUAAGCUACUAAGGGCACACGGUGGAUGCCUUGGCGUCAAAUGCCGAUGAAGGACGUGGUACACUGCGAUAAGCCUCGAGGAGUCGUGUGCAGACGUUAUAUUCGAGGAUUUCCGAAUGGGGAAACCCACCAGGGGUUAAUGCCCUGGUACUGUUAUCUGAAUAAAAUAGGGUAACAGAGGGAACGAGGUGAACUGAAACAUCUUAGUAACCUCAGGAAAAGAAAAUGAUUCCCUCAGUAGUGGCGAGCGAAAGGGGAAAAGCCCAAACCGUUUUCUAUAUGGAAGCGGGGUUGUAGGACUUGCAUAUAGGAGUUACAAAUCUAUCUGAUAGUGGAACUGUACUGGAAAGUACGGCCAGAGAGGGUGACAGCCCCGUACACGAAAUUGGAUAGACUCCUGCAAUGUUCCUGAGUACGACGGGACACGAGAAACCCCGUCGGAAUCUGGGAAGGCCACUUCCCAAGGCUAAAUACAUUUGACGACCGAUAGUGAACAAGUACUGUGAAGGAAAGGUGAAAAGUCCCCCAGUAAGGGGAGUGAAAUAGAACCUGAAACCGUGUGCUUACAACCGGUCGGAGCACUAUGGCGUAAGCCAGUGUGACGGCGUGCCUUUUGGAGAAUGAGCCAGCGAGUUAAUCUCAGUGGCAAGGUUAAGUCAGUAAUAGACGGAGCCGUAGCGAAAGCGAGUCUGAAUAGGGCGAUUGAGUUGCUGGGAUUAGACACGAAACCAGGUGAGCUACCCAUGGGCAGGCUGAAGCGAGGCUAAUCCCUCGUGGAGGGCCGAACCCACUAAUGUUGCAAAAUUAGGAUGACCUGUGGGUAGGGGUGAUAUGCCAAACGAACUUGGAGAUAGCUUGUUCUCUCCCGAAAUAGCUUUAGGGCUAGCGUCACGUGUUUAGUAUAGGGGUAGAGCACUGGAUGAGUUAGGGGCGUACUCUUACCAGCCUCAACCAAACUCCGAAUACCUAUACUCCAGAGCGUAGCAGUCGGACUAGUGAGGAUGAGUUUCAUAGUCGAAAGGAAACAGACCCAGACCGCCGGCUAAGGUCCUCAAGUCUAUGCUAAGUGGGAAACGAUGUGAGUGUUUAGACAGCCAGGAGGUUGGCUUAGAAGCAGCCAUUCCUUUAAAGAGUGCGUAAUAGCUCACUGGUCAAACGCUUUUGCGCGGAAAAUGUAACGGGGCUUAAGCAUAGCACCGAAGCGCGGACUUUGAUAAUUCUACGGAAUUAUUGAAGUGGUAGGAGAGCGUUCUGUAGGAGAUACAAGAAUGACAGUGAAGGAUAUCUGUGGCCUACAGAAGUGAGAAUGCUAUAAUUAGUAAUAGCGUAAAACAUGUGAGAAAUAUGUUCCCCGUAAACCUAAGUGUUUCCGACGGAAGGUUGAGUCCGCGUCGGGUUAGUCGGGCCUUAGCCGAGGCGAAAGGCGUAGGUGAUGGACAUCUAUUAAUAUUCCAGAACCACUUAAAAGGAGCGAUGAAGAGGGACGCAGCGUGGUAGGUCAGCCCCUUAUUGGAUUGGGGUGCUAAACGUCUAGGAUGAGAUGGGUGUAGGAAAAUCCACCGGAAUCUGAAGCGUGAUAGCGGCGCCUAUAGAGUAAGUGAUUGAGCCAUGCUGCCGAGAAAAACUCUAAGUGAAGGUGCUGCAGGUCUUAUUCCCAGUUACCAGGUGUAUAACAAUACGUAAC